CGGGACACGUGGUAUCCUGUCUGAAUAUGGGGGGACCAUCCUCCAAGGCUAAAUACUCCUGACUGACCGAUAGUGAACCAGUACCGUGAGGGAAAGGCGAAAAGAACCCCGGCGAGGGGAGUGAAAAAGAACCUGAAACCGUGUACGUACAAGCAGUGGGAGCCUCUUAAUGGGGUGACUGCGUACCUUUUGUAUAAUGGGUCAGCGACUUAUAUUCUGUAGCAAGGUUAACCGAAUAGGGGAGCCGAAGGGAAACCGAGUCUUAACUGGGCGUUAAGUUGCAGGGUAUAGACCCGAAACCCGGUGAUCUAGCCAUGGGCAGGUUGAAGGUUGGGUAACACUAACUGGAGGACCGAACCGACUAAUGUUGAAAAAUUAGCGGAUGACUUGUGGCUGGGGGUGAAAGGCCAAUCAAACCGGGAGAUAGCUGGUUCUCCCCGAAAGCUAUUUAGGUAGCGCCUCGUGAAUUCAUCUCCGGGGGUAGAGCACUGUUUCGGCAAGGGGGUCAUCCCGACUUACCAACCCGAUGCAAACUGCGAAUACCGGAGAAUGUUAUCACGGGAGACACACGGCGGGUGCUAACGUCCGUCGUGAAGAGGGAAACAACCCAGACCGCCAGCUAAGGUCCCAAAGUCAUGGUUAAGUGGGAAACGAUGUGGGAAGGCCCAGACAGCCAGGAUGUUGGCUUAGAAGCAGCCAUCAUUUAAAGAAAGCGUA
rnacentral:rRNA from 1 species